AUAAAUGAAAUUUAACAAAAUAUUUGAAUUAUAUGAUUUUUUAAUUUAAAAUAUUUAAGUAAUCUUAAAAUUAUUAAUUUAUU
rnacentral:tRNA from 1 species